UCUGCUGAAGUCUUUAGAACACAAACGCAUACACUGGGAGUGAUUGUGAUCAAACAAACUUCAACUGGGACUCGACAAAGAGCUUGUUUAUAGCUCCAAGGCAAAUGGGCAGACACGAACAGGGCUGUAUCCCUUUCCCGUGCACGCAUCAGCCUCCAUUUCAGAAAAUAUACUGUUCCAUUAAGUGCAAUUAGAAUAUCUGAGCUCCUAGAGGCCCUGAUAAUAGACUGUUCCUUUUAUCAGAUCAAGUACCAGGGAUUAAACUCCUGGUGUUUUGCAUCCAAAUGAGAUUUCUACUGGAACAGAAAUACUUGCUUUUAGAAUUGAUUGUGUGAAACAUCGUGCUACAAUUUGAAUGAUCCCUUGAUGACUGGACUUUCUGGGAUAGAAGUUCCAAUAAAAUCCACGCGUACGGGGUGAGUUCGUGAAACAGCUCACGGAAGAACAGGAGCCCACAGCCGGGCUGCUCUCCGCAGGCAGCCCGAACCCGAGGGCGUUCAGCGGCCUCUAAUGCCCUCUGAUGGACAAACGGGAGAGAAAUAUUUUUGACCCUGAUGGCAGAUUUGGCAUAGUUCCCCCUCAGUGACACCCCGUCCAUCAGGAAUGGGAUCAAACCUUUGCCUUACAGACGAACACUUCCAUAAGGGAUGGGAGCUUUCCGGACCAAAGCAGAUAAAUAAAAAUUAAAAACUAUCACUCAGCAUGUUUGAGCCACUGCUGGAGUGUUUGAAAAAUGCUGGCGAAAAUGAGAAACUGGGAUGGGAGGAAUGGAGAGAAAAAAAUUAAAGGAUGAAACAGCCUUCAGGAAGUCAGAAGGAAAAAAAGUUAAUAAAGAAAUAAUUUGAGUUGAAACACAAAAUAGAGGAAAGCAGAAGAUGUGAGAAAGGAAAAAAAUUCCAUAUUCUCUGUCAAGAAACCAAGGUCACCUCCAAGAGCCACUUCAGGUGUAAUGCCAGAGAGACCCAGAUCUCCUGGGUACGGUGUAGAUUUACUAUGGGAAAAGCACUGCCAGAAGCAGGAAGAAGCACUGUUUGUUUUGUUUGGUGCAUCUCGAAGGGAAGAAAUAGCCUGUCCUUUUACCUCAGGAGUUCCCAGGAUGCUUCUCUCUGAUCUAAUCAUAUCACCCUGAUUUCUUUCUGGCAUUUUGGGACAUGUUUUUCAGAACCAUAUCAGUCAGCUGAAGCCCUUUCCUGCCCCUACAUGAAUUAUUAUUGUUUAGAUUUUGGCAGAAUGCGGAGAUCCUUGUGAAGAUUGUGGCUGGAUUGCCUUCAGUGGAGAUUAUUCCUGCCUGACUGCUGUGGGACACUGAGGGGUCAAAUCCAAAAAAAUCCAGUUGGAAAAGGAGACGUGACCAGAAGGGGCCAGUGGGGUCAGUUCUGCCUCAGGGAGACCCAGCCCUCGGGUUUAAUAUGAAUUAAUAAACCUUCCUGGGGAAGGGCUCUGCUCCACUGAACCAUUGGUUUUGUGUUCUCUACCUUUGCACU